rnacentral:rRNA from 1 species
UACGAAGGGGGAGAGCGUUGUUCGGAAUUACUGGGCGUAAAGGGCGCGCAGGCGGCUCUGAAAGUCAGAUGUGAAAGCCCCGGGCUUAACCUGGGAAUUGCAUUUGAUACUCUGGAGCUUGAGUGUGGGAGAGGAGAGUGGAAUUCCCAGUGUAGGGGUGAAAUUCGUAGAUAUUGGGAAGAACACCGGUGGCGAAGGCGGCGACCUGGUCCUUUUACUGACGCUGAGGCGCGAAAGCGUGGGGAGCAAACAGG